rnacentral:lncRNA from 1 species
UUCAAUUUUAAUCAAAGUAUUCUUUCUUGUUAAAUCUAUUGUUUAAUUAAGUUGAAGAAGGCGUGUUUUCCAACAAUUGGUAUCAGAGCUUGGUGCCUGCGGUUUUAAGAGUUGUUUUCGCCUGCGGUUUUGAGAGUUGUUUUCUGAGAAGGGGAAGCAGCCCCUCGCGGGGUUGCAACAGGGGUGAAAACAACAGGAGGGUUCGAUGAUUAGAGGUCACGGUAGAAGCACAUGUAAGUUUCUUUUGGAUCUUAAUUUUGGGUGGUGCUUUAUUGAAGCAGGUGGCCUAAAAUCUGAUGUGCACGGAGAUAACAACAAAAGAGAAAUAAUUUGUCGGUGAUAUUUUUUGGCAACUUUUUCUGGCUUGCACGAGAAGAAAAAAUUACGGGGAACAAAUUUUUUUUGGCGACUAAUACUUUAGAGCAGAACAAAGAUACACUUUGUGUUAUUUAACCAAAGAUAUUUGGAGGUUGUGUUGAUCGACCAAAGGGAGUAGCAAAAGAGUUUAAUCAAGGUUGAGUUUCGAAAGCUUUUUAGCCGUGAAGGGAAGUCAAUGGGUGAUUUUUUAAGGAAGUUUUUCAUAUAAAAAUCCAAUCAAGGUUACUUUCUUUAUUUUGUUCUCAAAAAGAAAAAAAGAGGCGACUGGUGAUUCGGGUGUGAUGAGCAGGCCCGGUGAUAAGUGUGGGCAAGUAGGGCAAUGGACCCAGGCCCAAAGACUUUGAGGGCCCAAAGUUUUUAAAAAUAUCCUAUAUACUAUAUGUUUUUGUUAUUGGGCCUAAACUGUUAACCUAAUUAUAAUAAUCAGCCUUCAUCUGUGAAUCUGUGAUUGACGUAUAUACGUAAUGAGCGGGAAUCCGAAAUAGAAUACGAAGCGACGACAGAGGUUUAACAGGCAGCGCACACACAAAGCAAUCAGAAAUCUGAAAUCGGUUCACUGUUCAGCAGCGCAGCGGCCACGAAAUCAGUUAUUCGGAAUCGCGUUACAGUGGCUCCAGGCCGAAAACGUUUCGAGAUUUCUCGGAGACGGCACUGGUGAUGAGCGAGUGGUGCGAACAAACACUGAUUAAGGGGUGAUCAAUUGUUGGCUUUAUUCGGGUUUGUUUGUGGAUCACAGGUCGGCGGUUUCGAUGGUUUAUGUUCUAGCGGGUCAAAAUGGUAGCGGAGACAAGUCGUGAUUCAGGCCAAAUCAGUGGUCUUGUUAACCCAAUUGUUGAUCGAAGAACGAGAAUGGAUCAUGUUUUUAUUUGUCGGAUACUCUUUCUUGCUUAGGAGAAGAAUCACAAGGAGGCGUCGAAUUCUUAUGGCAGAAAAACCAACAGGUUUAGCGCGGUAGAAACGAAACAACGGGGUGGCUGAGAUAUUUGUUUAGCGACUCGUAGACAGUGCAGCAGGUGGCUGGAGUCUAGUUGGGGGUUGAUACGCAAGGGGUGCUUAUUAAGGAAGAGUUUGAUAGAAUAGUAAAAUCACGAUCAAAGACGACUUUGGACGUGGUAAAGGUGAAGACCGGGGUGUCUAGGAUAGGUCGAGUUAUUGGGAGGCUUUGGACGUGACCGGGGUUGAGGUCGGGGGUCCGGUAGAAGUCAGAGAUGGUAGAGAUCGAGGUGAUGGUCGAGUACAACGGGGUGUCCAAGGUGGGAGAAAAAGGAAGAGGUGAACCUUGAGCCACGUCAGGUGUUACAAAUGCAAUGAGUUCGGGCAUUACAUAUUGGAGUGUCCAAGGUGGGAGAAAAAGUAAGAGGUGAACUUGACCCGAUAUGAGGAUGAUGGGCCGGCUCUAAUGUGAAGAAAGUGAUUGACAAGAUUAGGGGGGUGAUUGUUGGGACUAAUCUUGUCAUAACUCAGAAGUUGGUGGAUGCUAAGUGGUUUAGCUUAUUUUUUGUGAAAGUUUAAUUAUUUAUGUCUAGGUAUGUUUCUUGGGCAUCAAGGUUCUUUCGUAUAAAUAGGGGUUAUAUGUUUAGGGUUUAUGUACCUUCAAUUUUAAUCAAAGUAUUCUUUCUUGUUAAAUAUAUUGUUUAA